AAGGCUGCGGCGGCGACGAGCUCCGAGCGGGACACUGAACGGCCCGUAUGCGCAAGAUAAGCACGGACUGAAUCAGGUACACGCACCUGCCGGGGACGCACUGACCGAGGUGCGGACGGCGGUACCAGGACAGGUAAAGCCGCGAACACUCGGACCUAAGAACUUGACAGGUACACCCUGCCUGAUGAAGCUACGUACGGCCAGGUCAUCAUCUCACCCUUGUUCAUUAUUGGAUGGAGAAACCAGGGUCCC
rnacentral:lncRNA from 1 species